ACCGACCAAUCCAACCUAAAUUACAACCUAUUGCUGGGCCAUGAAGCUAAAUGACGAUAUUUUAGUGAACGAUAGCAGAGAUGACAUAGAUGUAUCAAUAUAUAUAUAUAGGAAGAUGUGGUAUGAGUGCCAAUGAGACAACUCUCCAUCCAAUUAACAAUUUAUAAAAGUAAACCGUUAUAGGCCAAGGUACGGCCUUCAACACGGAGCCUUGGCUCACAUCAAUCAGCACGUUAUAAAAGACCCAAAAUAUUACUAGUGUUAAACCAUUUAAACGGGAAAACCAACGGUCUUAUCUAUAUAAAAACAAGAAG
rnacentral:lncRNA from 1 species